UGAAGAGUAGCCAUCAUGGAUGAAGUCACCUGCUCAGCUCCAGUGAGUUGUACUUGUACUUUCAAAGCAAUACAAAGGUAUGGGUCUCUGAGGGAGAGAUUAUAGUUAGAAAAAAAUAUAAGUACUACACUUCCAGCAUAUAGGAUAGUCAAACACGCCCCUAUGAUAGCGUGUUCAUACUGUAAAAAGCGGGUGUCUAAUAAUGAGACUCGGGCAGUAAUUAGUAGUCCUUUUCUGCCGUGGAGGCUAAAUAUGAGUCUGAUUGCUCCAAAAUGUAGGUGAGGGUAUCCUUCCCGUUUCCAUUUAGGAAUUAAUGGAGGAAGAAUCUCCAAGGUGACAUACUGUUUAGCAGUGGAGCUUUAGAGAGAACAUUAAUCCAUUCUGGAGGCUUAG
rnacentral:misc_RNA from 1 species